AGGGUCGUGGUCCAGCUUGGAAUGGACGCCUGCUUCGGACGCAGGAGACCGUGGGUUCAAAUCCCACCGGCCCUACCA
rnacentral:tRNA from 1 species